rnacentral:rRNA from 1 species
UACAGAGGUCUCAAGCGUUGUUCGGAAUCACUGGGCGUAAAGGGUGCGUAGGUGGCGUGGUAAGUCAGUUGUGAAAGCCCGGGGCUCAACCUCGGAACUGCAUCCGAUACUACCAUGCUGGAGUACUGAAGAGGUGACUAGAAUUCUCGGUGUAGCAGUGAAAUGCGUAGAUAUCGAGAGGAAUGCCAAAGGCGAAGGCAGGUCACUGGGCAGUUACUGACACUGAGGCACGAAGGCCAGGGGAGCAAACGGG